rnacentral:rRNA from 1 species
UACAGAGGGGGCAAGCGUUAUUCGGAAUUAUUGGGCGUAAAGGGCGCGUAGGCGGCUUGGCAAGUGGAUGGUGAAAUCCCUCGGCUUAACCGAGGAACUGCCGUCCAAACUGCUUCGCUUGAGACCGGGAGAGGUGAGUGGAAUUCCCAGUGUAGCGGUGAAAUGCGUAGAUAUUGGGAGGAACACCAGUGGCGAAGGCGGCUCACUGGACCGGUACUGACGCUGAUGCGCGAAAGCGUGGGGAGCAAACAGGG